rnacentral:rRNA from 1 species
GAUGAACGCUGGCGGCGUGCCUAACACAUGCAAGUCGAGCGAUUUACUUCGGUAAAGAGCGGCGGACGGGUGAGUAACGCGUGGGUAACCUGCCCUGUACACACGGAUAACAUACCGAAAGGUAUGCUAAUACGAGAUAAUAUACUUUUAUCGCAUGGUAGAAGUAUCAAAGCUUUUGCGGUGCAGGAUGGACCCGCGUCUGAUUAGCUAGUUGGUAAGGUAACGGCUUACCAAGGCGACGAUCAGUAGCCGACCUGAGAGGGUGAUCGGCCACAUUGGAACUGAGACACGGUCCAAACUCCUACGGGUGGCUG